rnacentral:miRNA from 1 species
GUCAUAAACACCAUCAAGUUUGGUGUUUAUGACGUCGAUAUUCGACGUCAUAAACAACACCAAGUUUGGUGUUUAUUACGUCGAUAUACGACGUCAUAAACAGCAUCAAGUUUAGUAUUUAUAACGUCGAUAUUCGACGUCAUAAGCACCAUCAAAUUUGGUGUUGAUGACGUCGAUAUACGACGUCAUAAACACCAUCAAGUUUGGUGUUUAUGGCGUCGAUAUUCGGCGUCAUAAACACCAUCAAAUUUGGUAUUUAUGAC